GCCAGCUUAGCUCAGUGGUAGAGCAACGGUUUCGUAAACCGUAGGUCUCGGGUUCAAAUCCCGAAGCUGGCU
rnacentral:tRNA from 1 species